GGCCUUGUGGCGCAACGGUAGCGCGUCUGACUCCAGAUCAGAAAGUUGCGUGUUCAUAUCACGUCAAGGUCA
rnacentral:tRNA from 1 species